rnacentral:rRNA from 1 species
UUGACCUACGGGAGGCAGCAGUGGGGAAUAUUGCACAAUGGGGGAAACCCUGAUGCAGCGACGCCGCGUGAGCGAGGAAGUAUUUCGGUAUGUAAAGCUCUGUCAGCAGGGAAGAGGAAUGACGGUACCUGAAGAAGAAGCACCGGCUAAAUACGUGCCAGCAGCCGCGGUAAUACGUAUGGUGCAAGCGUUAUCCGGAUUUACUGGGUGUAAAGGGAGCGCAGGCGGUUCUGCAAGGCUGAUGUGAAAGCCCGGGGCGCAACCGCGGGACUGCAUUGGAAACUGCGGGACUGGAGGGUCGGGGG